rnacentral:rRNA from 1 species
UUUACGAGUCCUCGGCGUCGAGACGAACGCGUGGCGGCGUGCCUAAUACAUGCAAGUCGAGCGGUCCCUUCGGGGAUAGCGGCGGACGGGUGAGUAACACGUAGGCAACCUGCCUGUAAGACCGGGAUAACUAUCGGAAACGAUAGCUAAGACCGGAUAGCUGGGUUUUCUCGCAUGAGAGAAUCAUGAAACACGGAGCAAUCUGUGGCUUACAGAUGGGCCUGCGGCGCAUUAGCUAGUUGGUAGGGUAACGGCCUACCAAGGCGACGAUGCGUAGCCGACCUGAGAGGGUGAACGGCCACACUGGGACUGAGACACGGCCCAGACUCCUACGGGAGGCAGCAGUAGGGAAUCUUCCGCAAUGGACGCAAGUCUGACGGAGCAACGCCGCGUGAGUGAUGAAGGUUUUCGGAUCGUAAAGCUCUGUUGCCCUAGACGAACAGCAAGGCGAGUAACUGCGCUUUGUGUGACGGUAUAGGAGAAGAAAGCCCCGGCUAACUACGUG